AACGAACGCUGGCGGCAGGCCUAACACAUGCAAGUCGAGCGCCCCGCAAGGGGAGCGGCGGACGGGUGAGUAACGCGUGGGAACGUACCCUUUGCUACGGAAUAGCCUCGGGAAACUGGGAGUAAUACCGUAUGUGCCCUUCGGGGGAAAGAUUUAUCGGCAAAGGAUCGGCCCGCGUUGGAUUAGGUAGUUGGUGGGGUAAUGGCCUACCAAGCCGACGAUCCAUAGCUGGUUUGAGAGGAUGAUCAGCCACACUGGGACUGAGACACGGCCCAGACUCCUACGGGAGGCAGCAGUGGGGAAUCUUAGACAAUGGGCGCAAGCCUGAUCUAGCCAUGCCGCGUGAGCGAUGAAGGCCUUAGGGUUGUAAAGCUCUUUCAGGGGGAAGAUAAUGACUGUACCCCCAGAAGAAGCCCCGGCUAACUCCGUGCCAGCAGCCGCGGUAAAGUACAGUGU
rnacentral:rRNA from 1 species